rnacentral:tRNA from 1 species
GAUUCGAUAGCUCAGCUGGUAGAGCAUCUCCCUUUUAAGGAGAGGGUCCUGGGUUCGAGCCCCAGUCGAAUCA